rnacentral:rRNA from 1 species
UACGUAGGCGGAAAAUUAAGUCAGUAGUGAAAUCCUGCAGCUUAACUGUAGAACUGUUAUUGAUACUGGUUUUCUUGAAUAUAGUUGGGGUAGGCGGAAUGUGUAAUGUAGCGGUGAAAUGCUUAGAUAUUACACAGAACACCGAUUGCGAAGGCAGCUUACUAAGCUAUGAUUGACGCUGAGGUACGAAAGCGUGGGGAGCGAACAGGAUUAGAUACCCUGGUAGUCC